UUUCCGUAGGUGAACCUGCGGAAGGAUCAUUAACGCGUAAGGUACAUUCUGGCCCGCCCUCCAACCCUUUGUUUAAUUUCUAUGUUGCUUUGUCGGGCCUGCUUCACUAGCGCCGGAAGUCCUCUGAUUUCUCGCCCGUUCCCGCCAAUAGCCUUCUACAAACACUUGUUCAAUUGUGAUGUCUGAGGAAUAAAUUUAAUAGUUAAAACUUUUAACAACGGAUCUCUUGGUUCUG
rnacentral:misc_RNA from 1 species